rnacentral:lncRNA from 1 species
AGAAUCAUACAAAAUAAUUUUUUCUCAUCUAUUUAAUGAGUGACUUAAAAAUAUAUAUUUCAUAAUAAUUACACUCAGGAGCAUUUUGAUAGCACAGAUCACAUCAUCAAGAUGCCCACUUCCAUCUGAAGCAAAAUGCACUAAUUGAAGAUUCAGAUCUUUUGAUUGAAGAAGCCAAUUACAUAUUGAUUCUGCAACCUGGUACACGUUCAUAAUCUAAGAAAAACACACAUUACUUGGCAUGAAAGCCAUUAAACUUAUUCUCAUAAUGAACUUUUCUAGAUAUGUUCAUUUGUUCACGUGUUUUUAAAUAUAGAUUAAAAAAACUAUCCUAAGUCAGGUUUCCUGGGAAACAAAAUCUGAGUGGAGGUUUCCAUGCAGGAGGUUUAUUGGCAAGUGCUCUCAGGAUCAACACCUGUGAUGGAGUGAAGGGAGGAGAAAGGGUAGAAGGCAGAGCUGAGUUGUGAUGCAAUCACAACAAAGGCUCCUCAGAUUCUAAGGAGAGCUCUGGAACUGGGAUGAUCCUUCAGAGCUAGACCUUUCUUCCUAUUCAUCUAACAGUGAUUGGAUAUGGGGAGCUGUCUAUAGGAAGCGGGGGUGAUCUUGGGUGAGAAUGCUCUCUUCUGCUGAGAACAACUGCCAGAGGACUCAACUGAGCACCUUUAACCAUUAGCUGAGGCUUCUUAGCAGUCUGCCAUAGCAACUCAAGUAAUGCAACUUUACUCAGCAUGGACCGUCACUUUCUCCAGACUUCUAAGAGAUGCCAUAGCAGAAAAUUUAUGCCUUUCCCUGCAGUCCUUGUCAAGUGUUAAAUCCCAUGGCCUUAUAUCCUGAGAGGAUGGCUCUAAAUCAAUAAACUCUCCUUUAUCUAGUUUCAUGUCCUGCCUCCUUGAUCAAAACUCUUAAAACCAGUCAUUUAUCCAAAUAUGCUGGCUAAUCAUUGAAGCUCUUUUGGGGGUAUAGUGUCUUUCCUCACCACUCAGGUCUGGUAUAACCUUGAGUUGCUUUUGAUAUAAUUUAACCCAAAGUUUGGGCCUGGCAUUUAGGAGAUGAGAUGAGGGAAAAUCCUGAAGAUGACCCUGUUGCCUUGUGGGAGAGAGGACUCUGCAGUGUUUUCUCAUAUGCAAGAAGGGUAGCUGUGAAAAAGGAAGGAUGCACUAUCUCUGCAGGAUCUAAGGAUUUAGAAAACUUUGGGGAACCCAAAUCUUUGGGUGAAUAGGUGCAUCUGACUGAUCUCAUAUGUCGGGAUACCAGGGAUUCCUAGCAAGGGCCCCAAGCUUGGCAUAAUAGAUUUGACAUAGUUAAACAUUCUAUACACUUUCCCAGCAGCCACUUUCAGCCAGGCAUCCUGGAGGCUCUCCUGGCACUUGCACAGCUCAGAUAUUCAAGGUCCUGGUGGAAGAUUAUGGUGCUCACCCAUGGGCCUCCCCUUUUUCAUGGGCUGUAGGCCUCAGUUGCUGUCUAAAGCCUACAAAGAGUUCCUUUAUAUAUUUUUCCAGAUUUUCUAGUUGCUUAUGGUAAGAACUUAAUUUCAAAGCUGGUAACUGCAUCAGGGUUGGAGCUGGAGGUCUCAAUCAAUGAUUGCUGAAUAAAUAAAUUCAUUGCAUUUGAGAUGCAUCUGGACAUCUUGUAUGUUCUGAUGAAUACACUGAGUAGGCAUUGGGAGUCAUCUAUGUAUGGUAGUAGUUGAAAGACACUGUACAGGUUGUCGAGAUAUCCAAUGAAGCUUAUAAAAAGGCCAAAGAGAGAAAAAUGUUAAACAUUUUAAAUUUUAAAAUGAGAAAAGAGCAAUAUUGAAAGGACAAUGAGUACGACAAUUAAGAAAAGACAGAAAGAAGAAACAUAAAUAUUUUAUUUAAACAUUAUUGUCCUUCAAAUUAACAAAUACUUACUGAAUUUCUCCUAUAAUUUAUAUAAUUAACAAAGAAGAGAUUGUAUGGAUUUGUGGGUGAGUCAAGAAUUAGGGUUCAAUGAGGAAGAAUUUUUGAAAGACUAAAAGUGUUGGGUUUCAGCCUAACUACUUAAAACAUAAAGCAGUAUAGAUCUGGAGGAUAGGGUUAAUUCAGUCAUCAGCUAAGCAAGGGCAGGCUUAAGACUUUGCUGCUAUGAUGCACACGAGAUUAUCAAUUCAAAAAAUAUCAAGGUGGAAGAAAAACAGUAAUGGUUCCAGAAUUUUCAUAGUGAUGGAGAUUUGGGGCAAAAAUAUGGUUGAAAGCAAAUUCAGAAGACUUGUCUGGAGGUGACAUUUCUCCAUAAACACACUUUUAAAAUUUAAAGUCUGUGUUAUAGAUGAAUAAAAAUAAUCAGAUUGAUGAUUUCAAACACAUGUUGGCUGACUCUAUUCUUAUUUACAUAAUUAUAGCAAUUGUUUAAAUUGGGAUGGUUUUGUGAAGCAGAGGAUUUUGGAGGACCUUUAUUUCUCUCCAACUCCACCCCAAGCUAUCCUUAUCCUGCAAAUGCAAUGCAUGACUGUGUUAAUGAAAGAGGAGGCUGGGAGAUUCCACAUGAAAGAGUGAAGUAGGAAACAUUAUCCCAGUUGGUCUGAAAGGCAUAUAUGUACUUUAAGAGAUAUCAUUUAUAAGAAGAGAGGGGGAAGGUUAGAUGUUUAAAAGCUGAGCUAACAAUGACAAGAAUAGUCCAUAAAAAUGUUGGUAAUUUUAAUCCUAGUGAAACAGGAAGAAUAAUGAUGCUAUGCAGUCUUACGUUGAACUCUAUGUAACUUUAGUUGUUAUAUUAGGCCAUUCUUUUGCAUUGCCAUUAAGAAAUACCUGAGGCUAGACAAUCUAUAAAGAAAAGAGGCUUAAUUGGCCCACAGUUCUGCAGGCUGUACAGGAAGCUUGUUGUCAGUAUUUGCUUCUCGUGAGGGUCUCAGGGGACUUACAAUCAUGGCAGAAGGUAAACGGGAGGUCAGUGUAUCACAUAGCAAGAGCAGAGCAAGAGCAAGAGUAGAGAGGUGCCAUACACUUUUAAGCAAUCUGAUCUCGAGUAAACCCACUCAUCACCAAGAGGAUGGUGCUAAAUCAUUCAUGAAGGAUCUGCCCCAAAACCCAAACACUUCCCGCCAGGCCCCACCUCCAACACUGGGCAUUACACUUCAACAUUUAAGACAGGACCCCCACUCAAACCAUAUCAGUUGUUAAGGUGAGUAUACAGUAAUACAUGUCCAGGUGGAUAUGUUUCAUAGUUAGUGAAAGGUGUACAAUUGGACGAAGAAAAAUCCAUGGCCAUCUGCCUGUCUGUGACAUAAUAAAUGCUCCAUGUCAUUGUUCAUCAAAACAGAAUGGCAAUAAGCAAGAUCAACUAUAUUGUGAUGCCAAUAGGGGGCCCUGUGGCUUUGUGAUAAAAUCCUACUCAUUUAUUCAAAUUUUGCCCCAAAAGAACCAUAUAAUUAGCUCCAUUAAUAAACAAGUGAGUCCUUCCACUCAUCCAUCUAUCCCCCCAUUCUUCCAUUCUCCCAUUUAGUGCCAUUCACCUUCGUUCUUCAUUAGUUAACAGUGAGAAUACUCAAAAGGCAAAUAGCUCUGCAGUUUUCUCUCCACCUCAUUGGAAUUGUGGGAACUUUUAUUGAGUGGUGAGGGUUAGGGUAAUGAAACUUGGAAAACUGCCAUCCUAGGAUCCCUCUGUGCUACCAAUAUGCAAAUAAUUUAACAGUAAUGCAGUCAAGAGUUCCCUGAGUAAAGACUCUCCAUUUUCAUCACUGUUGGUAAGUGCCAAGAGGGACAGAUGAGAAUAAGUUAUAGCCACACUGUGACAUGUAAUAAAUCUUCCAAAAGAGGUUUACAUGUACUCAGCUCUUUGGCUUUUAUCCUGUGUAUGACACUUCUGUUUGCUUUGCAUCUAAGCAACAGAAAGUAAUCAGCUGCUAAGAACUUAAUUAUUGGUUGCACGGAUAACCCUUAGGGUGUCUGUGUCCAGUCACUUGGGCCUCCUUCUACAUCUCUCAUCACAUAAAGCAAUAUGUUUCCCUGAGUGCCUGCCUCUCUGGAAAGCAUGGUGGUUCAUUUCUCCUUCAAGAGGAAGACAAAGGGCUGCUGAAACAACAAAAUACAAUGAAAUGGCUGUUCCUUGGGAAAAUGAGCCACUAAUUGUUCUUGAUGACUGAAACAAAGGAAGAGUCCUAGGGCUAGAAAUCACUCAAGAGCAGAGCCUUGAUAACAGUCAGAAGCUGAGAGGUAGAAAGUGUAAGGAAUUCUAGGGAGAGGAGUGAGAAAAUACUGUAACAGGCUUGCAAAAUCCAACUCAGAAUCGCACUAGUGUAUUAAUGAGACAAGUUAAACCAGUCACACUCCCACCUCUUAACCAAACUGUUAACACAAUUUAACACACUUUCAAAGGGGCACCCCUAUGAUGUGCUAAUGAAGUCACUUUCUUCCCAGCAUGAGUGAAUGGGCUUUUCCCCCUUUCUUGAGCUCUGUUUGAUCAGGAAGACAAAAUAUUCAAAUAUCUUGUGAAUGUAGGAGGCGGUUAGGAUGGUUUUCAAAUAUAUAUAUUCCGUGUGUGUGUGUGUGUGUGUGUGUGUGUGUGUGUGUGUCACACACGGAAACUGAGACAUAAAGGACCAAAUCUACAGCUCAAAGUUAGUACAAUUAUCUGAAUUUGAAUUGGUUUUCUGCUUCAGCUUUUCCUUACUGUUAUUUAAAUGCUGUGAAAUUAAUAAAUACUGUUUAGGAAUUUUCUCUUUUAGGAUUAUAAGUAACCUGGAAAAUAACAAUAACUGAAAUGCUCUGUAAUUUGUAAGCAGUCAACAGAUGUAUAAGUAUCAUUUCAGUUUUCAAAAUUACAUUGUAAAUUGUUUGAAUUGGACUUUGAAACAAUUUUUCUUUUAACUAUAGGUGGUGGAUACAUUCUAGAAACUUGCAUCUUAAAGCAAUCAAACAAUUUAUUUUCAGUAUAGAUUCAAGACUAAAGCAAUCUCCGAAUAGGUAUUGUUUCACUUAGAUAGCUCCAAAGACAAAAACUAGGUCCCAUGAGGCUAAAACAGUGGUAUGCAUAGGGGGGUUUAUUUUUACUAUCCUUUAAACUGUCCACAUACAAUAUUAUACACACGCAAAGAUAUACAAAAUACACUUUUUAUGCAUUACAUAUUUCAAAAUAAAAGGAAUUCUCAAAAAAACUUUGUUCCAUAGCUGAAAUAUUAAAAUAAAUUGAGUAGAGGCAAUGCAUUUAGCAUUCUUAAAAGUUUCUUGAAAGAUUUUAUAGAAAAACUGCCCAUUAUUCUAGUUGACAACAGUUAUAUGAAUUUUUUAAAAAAGAAAACCUGUAAAAAACAAAAAAGGUCUUUAAACUAUAUGAUAUACAGAUCACUAUCUAUAUUUUUUUAAGAGCAUCUAAACUUUGGUGGAAAAGGUUUUAUAAGUUCUUAUUGCUCUUAUAAAUCUUUGUGGUUAUGUGACAAUGAUUCAUGUAAUAUUAUUGCAUAUCUGACUUUGGCAGUUACCCAUUACACCAUGUUAACAUAUUUCAAUAAGUAAUCAAUUUGGUUUUCCAGUACCCUGAUUUAAUACAGGUUUCAUUAUUUGCCUAGUAUUUAUGUUUUAGGCAUGUUUUCCAUCUUAGUGUAGGACUGCCCUUUUUGCAUUAGCCAUUUUAGGAUAAAAUACUUAAUAAGAUUUGCAUUUAAAAAAUGAACUUGAGGAACUGGACCCCCUCCAGCCAGAGCAAGUAAUUAUGCCAUUUGUAUUGCAAAGCAGGAGUGGCUAUAAAGCAAUGGUAUACUUUUUUAAAGAUUGAUAACCCUAAGCAGUAUUAUAUUACACAUAAAAUGGCAGGUCUGACAGAGGAACUAAACGUGGGCAGUGUAUAAAAUCCUGAGAACUGUAGAGAGUUGCAAAGUCUUUACUUUGUCUUUCUAUAAGAUAGCCAAUUAGAAGGAACUGAUUAUGGCUGAUAUCUUUAUUUCCUAUAACAUCCCUGUGUCAUAUAUUGGUCUUGUCCUAAGAGAACCCUAUGUUUUUGUAGAUAGCAAGAUUGCCACAUCAUAUACUAGUGGAUGCUCUCAAAUUCACUUCCUUGUAUUCAGAGGCUCAAAUUAGAUUGUGUCUAUAGGAAGUGGCCAAAAAAAAAAAAAUGGAAACUGUUUGGUUGUCAUCAUGAUCACCCUAUCCACCAAACUGAAAUUUUCCAUUGCUGAUAAGAACUCAAAGCUCGCAAUAUUAUUACUACUAAAGAAUACAACAGAGAACUUUAUUGAGCAGCUCAAAACUAUUUAAGAUACUUGUAUUGAGAUACUCGAAACUAUGUUCCAAGUACUGUGUUAAGUAUCUGACAGUAUUUAUCCCAUCAAUCCUCACAACAACCUGGCAAGUUUGGCAGUAUUAGUCAAGAUACCCAGUCUAGUUUAACUUUAGGAGUGAUGUUUUUAAUUAUUAUGGUAAACUUAUUUAAACUAAAAAAUGUUUUAAAAAAUAUUCUGAAGAUAUUUUCCAAACAGAAGCAUCCACGACUACGUUUCAGUGAAUUACAGGGCAUUAAAAUGUUCUGGCCUUAAACUGGGAUCUUUUAAACUAAUAGCAGUCCUAGUGGUUUUUAGAGGAAGGUUUUAUAAAAAGAUGUGCCUAAAUUAUCAAUCAUGGUCUUUCUUUAGGAUAAAAAGAUACAUGCCAGGUUGUUUUUCAGGCAUUGGCCAACAUAUAUUUUCUUAAAUUUGAUUAAAGUGUUCCCAAUCUUAAUUUAACAGGAUUCACAUCCUCAUGAAGGAAAACACUAAAAGAAAUGCAAAGCAAAUGAGAAAAGUAGUCUUAUAAGAAAAACAAAAUUCCACAGAGGCAACAAGCCAGUGUGACAUGAACCAAGAACACUGAUGGGGAAAACUUUGACUUUUCCUAUGAGCUCAGUAAACCCAUUUAGGGAGUUGUUAAAAACUGAGAGAGGCAAUGUGGAGAUAGCAACGUCCUUUUAGACUUCAAAGAGAAGGAAAUAUGUUUAGGACCUUCCUGAUAUAAAAAGCUGUUAAAUUCUGAAGCUUUUCCUUAACAUUUAUUCUCGAUUCGAGACUCUAAUGUUCAGUAAUUGGAUUCCAUGUUUGAUUGUUUCAUAUUUCAAUCAGCAGCCUACUUAAAACAACAAGUCAAUCAAAUGAAUAUUCUGGUAGUGUUUUUUACAUUAUUUAUAUAUACAUACAAACAAAUACAUAAAUAUCUACAUACAUUUAUAUAAUAAAGACAGCUCAGCAAUUUUUAGUUAAUUAUGAAAUAAGGUAUAUCAGUUUCUUAGGGCUGCUGUAACAAAGUAUUAUAAAAUUGUUAGCUUAACAGAAACUCUGAAAGUUCUGGAAGAUAAAUGUCGGGAUCAAGGUGUUGACAGAACUGGUUUCUUCUGAGGACAGUGAGGAAGUGUCUGUUCCAUGCCUAUCCCCUGGCUGCUAGUGGUUUGCCAACAAUCUUUAAUGUUGCUUGACUUGUAGAAGCUUACCCUCAUCUCUGCCUUCAUCUUCGCCUGGCAUUUUCCCCAUGUGCGUGUCUAUCUACAAAUUCCCUCCUUAUAAGGACAUCAGUCAUAGUGAAUCAGGGAUCCAUGCUACUCCACAAUGACCUCAUCUUAAUACUAUAUCUGCAACAAGCCAUAUUUCCAAAUAAGACCACCUUCUGACAUGAGAGUUAGGACUUCAACAUGUAGAUUUUGGGGAGACAAAAUUCAACACAAGACAUAAGGUUAACUGUGAAAGAAAAGGGAUGUUUAACAUAGAAAGUUAGAGUUGGUAGGAACUUUAGAAACCUAUACGACUUUCAAAUGGGAAUGCCCCGGCCCAGAGGAAUCAGGUGACUUACCAGCUGAUCACACAGCCAGUGGCAGAGCUAGGACUGGGAUUCAGAUUGCUAAGUUCAAACACAAUACGCUUCCCACCACCUAGGUUUCAACUUACUGAUAAUAGAAUACUUGUACAAAUGAUUUCAUUUAGGAACUAUUUUUUCCUGGUAGGCAAAUUACUUUGUUAAAUAAGAUUUUAAGGUUUGGACUACAUAUUUCACAUACUUUAUGGGGAAAACUCUGGAUGCUUCUCAAGAACAAAUAUGUUAAAUUAUUAAAAAAUAAGAAUUUAAUCUCUAUUUCUCCUCCUUCUAGUGAUGAUUAAAUAAUGAGGGCAUUGUGCAAAAUACUCUACUUAUACUAUUUCAAUUUAUCUUUAUUGAAAUCUUAGAGGGUAGAUCUCAUUAUUCCCAUUUUAAAGAUGAGGAAGAAGAGAAAGAUGUUAAAUAAAUCUACCAAAGUCACCCGAUAAUAAGUUACAUAGCUAGGAUUCAGAUUGGUUUAUUUGACCAGAAAGUCUUUUUUCCUUUCAACUAUGACAAGCUGUUUCACAUAUUUCAUUUCUGACGUCACAGAAUAACCUGUAGAAAUGUAGAGGAAGAAGAAGUCAGAGAUGAAUCAUUUUAGGCAUAAUAUUUCUACUGGAAAAUAUGUCAAGCAUGUGAGUAGAAAUGUUCCUUGGGUAGGGGUGGAUAAAGGGAAAAUUCAAGGCAUCAAAACUGAACUGUCAAUGAAACCUGUAAUUAAUGUAAAAAAAUCAUCAGUAAGUUUAAGUAGACCAAAAAAAAAAAAAAAAAAAAAAAAAAAAAAAAGGAGAUGGGAAGAUUUGAGGAGAACCAGGGCAGGACAGUGUCAGAUAUCUCACAUUAAGAAGAAAGUGAAGGAAGAGAGGCUAUUGAACUAAAUUUUGUACUGGAAACAAAUCUUACUCAUUUUGUAUCAUUAGUACCUAAUCUGCAUUAAAUAAUUAACAAAUAUGUGUAAAAAUGAAAACUUUGGAAUUGACAGUGGAAAGCAUUUUAAAUAGAAUUUUGAGGACAAUGAUAGGAUGUAAGUCUAUCAAAUAUGCCUAGUUUCAUAAUAGUCUACCUACCGGUUUGAAAAAUAAUAGCCAACAUUAAUUGAGCACUUGCUAUGUUUCAGGCUGUUCUAAAUAGUUUGUAGGCAACACUGCAUUAAAUUCUCUCAACAAAUUUAUGAUAUGAGUACUAUUUUGAUCUCCAUUUUUAAAUGAAGAAAAUGAGGUUUAGAAGCCACACAGUAAGGGGCCCACUGGAUUAUUAGGAGCAAUCACUCUUAACCACUGAUUUCACCAAGGAAGAAGAAAUGUUAUAAGAAGGAAUUUAGUUCACUUUUUUUUUUCACCUAGCACAGCACUUGGCAGGUAUUUAAUAAAUGUUGGAUAAAGUUUUAAGUUAUGUUUUAUUAAGGAUUGGGUCCAUGGAGAUGCAGAAUAGCACAGGGGAGUCUUCAGAGGAUAAAGUAGAUGAUGCUAAAGAAUGAAAAGAAACAGCAGAAUCAAGAAGCCUCAUCAAGUGAAAAAUAAUCUAUGCCUGAGCAUGGAUAGACAAGGCAACUUUUUGUGAGAAAUACUUCAUCAUCUAUUGCUAUGGUUCAUCACGUGUUGAAUUUCAGAAAUCUGUACAAGAAAGUUACAUUUAUAAUGGCCAUGAAACCCAAGAAAAAAUUCCUUAUUCCUAAAGUUUAUGUUUUGCAAUCAUCUGUUUCAAAAAGUUUCAAAUGUGAAGCAUAUUGUUAAUAGUGUAUAACCAUAAAAUUUUCAAUAGUAAGUUAUUGAAACAAAGUAGAUGAUGCAAGAAUUACUUAGGGGUAUGUGUGUACGUGUGUGUAUAGGAAGAGUCAUAUUGAACUAUUAAAUGCAAAAAUAUUUUUGUUAAAAUUGUUGGAUGCUAAAAUAUAUAUGCAAUUGCCUUGAUAUAUUUGAGCAAGUGUUCACUUUCUAUGUCAAAUAUAGGUACAUGUUUAUUUAAUAUUUAUUGAGUUUCUGUUAUAUGCCUGAUAUCGUGCCCGGCUCCAGGAUGUCUCUAUAAUUUUAAAAUAAAAAAAUUAAAAACCUGCUAGUUACAGUUUGUUAAACCUUUUGUUUAUAAACUCUGGAAAUAUGUAGUGUUCCUAUUUUUCCCCAAUUGGAGAAAGUCGAUAGCUAAUUCUUGUAAAUGCAUAUAAGUUAUUGUCAAAUAUUUUCUGAAUGUUAGAUAAAAUACAUUGUAGCCCCAAACCAUCAUUUAUAAUAUUAAUCAUUAGUUGUCAGAAGCUGAAUAAAAAAAUAUAGUUUAUCUUAAUUUUUGAAAAAACGUUUUAAAUCUUAAUUCUAAUUUUAAAAUAGCUAUAUCAUUAGCUCACACAAAUAUUCUAUCCAAGUACAUAAGCCAUACCCUCUCAGACAAUGGGCUUAACUCAUGGACUGAAUUAAAAGUUAGAUAGGAAUAUGAAAAGACAAACUUACUUAAGGAACAUCAGUAGUUAUUUCUACAAUAAACGUCUUUUUCAAUCACUACUAUUCCAACAGAGGUUGAGGGCUCAGGAACAUUAAUCUAAUUCAGUAUUUUGGAAGUAUUAUAAAUUAACACACAAACUGAGUCACCUCCCCUACGUACUCCUUAGUUUAUAUUCUCUAACUCAUAAAAAGCACCGUCAACCUUUGGGCUUUUUUUAAAUGGCAACCUCAAGCUAUUCUGAAGUCCUCAUCCUUAUUCUCUCCUCAGCCAAUCAAAUGUGAAAUUCUGUCAAUUCAGCUUCUGAAAACUGAUAACUUGCAUUUGUUUCUCCACUUCUUCCUUAAUUUGAAUGUUCACCCUCUAACCUGGACUAAUGCAGAGUCAUUAACAGCUCUCCCUCUCUUUGGUUUACUCUGUUCCUUCCAGUCCAUCCUAAAUGCACGCGUGUCCUAAACCUGACUUGUCACUCCGUGCAUAAAGGCAUUUUAAGUUCCUCUACUGUUCAAAGAAUUUGGACCAUCCUUUUAAUACAAUUCAUAUAGAGAGACUCAUGGUUUCUGCAUGGGUCUUCUCAUAUCCAGGCAUUAAUAAAAUAACUGACAUCACUUUAACUAAAUAUUUUUACGACAAAAUUCUUACUAAUGCAUACUUAUUAAAUAUUUAGAAUUACUCCAAUUACAGUCCUAAACUCCUUUAGAAAUAUAUGUGUUCAUAAACAUGUACAUUACAUUUAUAUGUAUAUACAUUUACAUUUGAUUUUGUUUUAAGAAACUUAGGAGUGUGCUCUAAAUUGUCGUAUUAAUUCAAAGUUGGUCAUCUUAUUAGGCUGCAAAAAAUGUGGCCUAAAUACCCUAGUUUAUAAUUCAGCAAAGUGCUUGGAAGAGGCACAGUAGGAAUGAUGAAUGGUAAAGAUGGGAUUAUUACUCAAGUCUCAUUUGUGACAGUUGACUUCCGUGAUAUUUAUCUUACAUUUUUCUUUUUGGCUGUGUGUGUGAGUGUAAUACACUUUAUAUAUUAGCAUUGGUCCAUCUAUUAUUAUAUUGGCAGCAGGAGAUUUUCAUUGAUUAGUUUCUCUCUAUUUGCUUUUUCUUUCUCUAAACCUUCAUGCUGUAAUGCAGAAGAUUUAUUUUCAAUGAUUUAUUAAAAUGUAAUUCUAAGGUGACUCCUUAUCAAGGAAGUAAUCUGCAGGCUAUCUUUGUUUAAACUUGCAAGCUGCUUUGUCAAGGAAAACUGCCUAUGAAAUUUUCAUUAUAAUAGACAGCUUUUCAUAAUGAAUGAAAAACAGCUAUUAUGAUUGAAAACAAAUUGCUCUGAAACAUAUUCUUUGAAACAAUGUGCUGCUUAAUUGUAUUUUGGAGGAGGGGGAGGUGAAGGCAAUUCUGUUUAAUUGGUUACAUUUUUCAGUUCUAUAAAUUAAUUUGCACUACCCAAUAUCACUUAAUUUUUCCCUAGGAAAGCUUUUGCUUGCCCUAGCAAUAUUAUAACUGCUAAUUCAAUUACACUGAAAUUGUUUAAUAGAAAAUAUAAUUGCUUAUUCAUACAGAAUACCCAUUAAAGAAGUGCAAAAGCGUGAACCCGAGGGUUACUGCAUAUUAAUACUUUGGGAAUAAAGAUGGGAAUGUUGUGCAGCGAAGGUGCCAGCUGAUCUUUAAUUGUUCAUCACCUGCCUCCAAAAUAAUAUGAAUGGACCCAAACUAAAUGACCACUCAUUACAAGUUUCAAUUUAGGAGCUUGGCUGGGGUCAGCAGAUUGCUUAUGCUGAUCGCAAUGAUUUGAAGUUGUGAUUACCAUAAGCAAUUUAAAUUUUAUUGAUCUCUCCUUCUGAAAGUUGUAAUUGAGCAUAGAUGUUGGACCCAGAGUUCUCCAAACUAAAUUGUACUCUGAAGCCCUUGCUGGAUUCCUGCAAGAAUCAAUAAGCAGUCAGUCACAUUAACAAUGAAAUAGGUCCAUUAACAUACGAUGCUAUUGGUGAAACUUUAUUUAGGAAGGGUGUUAGUUCACUUCAUUGCUUUAUCAAUGAAUCUUGGCUGUACAAGGAAAAGUAUUGCUUUAAUAUGUGUAAUAAGCUUGUAUGAAAAUGAAAUUAUAUAUUAUAAACAUGGAAUAUCAGUAGGUAGGCAGUUGAGUAUUUAUAUGAGAGUUAUUGUGACUCAUAUCAUCAUUUUACUGUAAACAGAGGUUUCAUAUGACUGGAAUUGCAGCUUGCCUGCUGCAGUGCUUUGCAGUUAUUCGGAAUUUUUAUUCUUCUUUAUUAGAUACAAGGUUUCCCUCCAUCAAGGUUAAGUACAUCUUGAAGUCUCCAUGUUCAGUGAUAAGUAGUGGCUUGUUAGGAAAGCUAUAUGACCUAUCCUGCUGAGCUGAGAGCAGGGAAUUCUUACAGAAAUCUAAGUAGUUCCAAGCUAUCUGAGGCAGAAUUUCAUACCCAGAGCACUGCUGAGCCUUGUUAGCAACCCUGGCCUACCUAUUAUCAUCAAAUUAGAAAAUGCUUUAAACGACAAAAGUCUAUUAAAACUUUAUGAUAGACAGGACAUUGGGAAUAAGAUUUGUCCAUUUUGAAGGCAAUUAAAGAAAUUAUUCUGUUUAUUUUUCUAAAUUUAAUCAGUUAUUAUUUGGUUCUUCCAUUCACUUCCUUUCUACUUCCUAAUAGAAUGAUGGAUAGUAAACUCUUGAAGAUUCCCAACCUCCUGGAAAUUUUAAAUCUCAAGAAGUGUGGGUAUAAUAAUAUCAUCACCUAAGAAACUUGUGGCUAAUACCAUGAGCUUCAAAGCCUCUAAAUGACCUACGGCAUGGAUUCUUUAACUUGGUACAAUGUGGUGAAUGAGGAAGAAAAUGGAAUCAAGAACCUUUCCAUUCAAUAUUUAUUACCCUAGUUAGUAGAGAUAAACAUUAUUUCCUUUCUCCCUUUGGUUAGCCUGAGUUACAGAUGAUAAUCUCCUUUAAGUGAUCCAAGUCAUAGGUCAUGGAUCCUGCAGCCCUUUAUUAUUUAAGAAUUAAUUUAAUAAUGGUACACAUAGACAAAUUUUAUUUUUGGAUCUUCCUUGCUGAGUAACAAUGUCUAGUUCAACUGGGGUCGAGAAUGACCAAGAGGUGGGAACAGAAUGUCAGAUCAAGGGCCAGGGAGUAAAGUAGAGAAUCUUAUCUUGAUCCAGAGAGUGCUGCAGGUUUUUACUAGAGUGUCACACAGAGUAACUCUGGAACUCAGCUUCUCAACCACAUCUUUUGCUCUCAUGACCUUGAUAUAUACAAUGCCCAGCAGGAAUUUAACUUUGCGUAUGGCCUGGAUUGCAUGUCUCUCCUUAUGGGAAAGUCUCCCGUGGCGGUUUUGCUUAAAUGACCUAAAAGAGGAAUAAUGACCCACAUAGAGAUAUGGAAAAGGCAUAUUUUAGAAAUCUGAAUGCUACAUUUUAAAACCUUCUGUCUUGUAGAAACAGAAGGUUAAUGGAUUAAAAAUGUGACUUAAUCUCUCUAUGCCUCACUUUCCUCAGUGGUAUAAGAACAAUAGAACAUACUCUUAUAGGAAUGACAUUGGGAUUAAAUAAAACAGUCCAUGUAGGAAAUUUAGUAUAGUGCCUGGCACAGAAUGAAGUCUUAAUAAAGGUUAGUUGUUAUUAGAGUGUCAUAUGUCUGGAUAGCCUUGGAUAGCCCUGGUGUCUUAUUAACAGUGUGGCAGUGCAAUGUUUGGAUGAAAACCUAAAUGUCCACUUUAGCUAUUAUCAUUCAAUGAAGCAGUGAGUGGAGAGCAUGGCAUAUACAUUUUCUGCUGGAGGAAUCGGGAAUGGGAAUGGAGAGAGUGCUUGAAGACUUGUGGCUGGUGGGAGGGUUAGAGUUCACGGAAGGCCAAGGUGAGGUGUGCUAUCCAAAACAUAGAUAGGUCUCUACAAGAUGGGAAGUUGCUGACUAUUUUCUCUUACAUAUUCCUACCUUCUUUAAAGAUUUUGGUUCCCCUUCGAAUGGUCUCUGUUCUGACCAGGCAUCCUCCUCUGAGUACAUUCCCACUCGGCUUGAGCCUGCCUAGGGCUUUUGUGUAGGCAUCUAAUUCAGGUCAGUUUUUUUUUUUUUUUUGAAAAAUAUUUUAUAUUCUUGGUGGUGGUGUUAAUCACCUCCAGUUUAAUAACUUCUAACUCAUUCUCUACGCUCCAUCAUCAACAAUGUUAGAUCUAAAUUCAGGCUAUAUUGUAAUAGCCUUGUUUUUAAAAACAGGUAGUUAUUGAGUAGAUGAUUAAAUGAAUUAACCCUCAUAAGCGCAUGUGUGUUUUAAUAGAUGUCAGGUGAUGCAGUCCCUUAACCUUAACAAAAUACUCUUAAAUGGUAACUUUAGGCUUUAUAGCAGGCUGUUAAAGGAGAUACUAUAAAGCAAGAAGCUUUCUGGGUAUCUCUUAAAUCAUACGGUAUUAGUAAUUAUGUGACCUUUUUGCAGAGUGGAAAAGGCUUAGGAGAAGAUUCAGAGGAAGAUAUAGAAUAAAUGAGUGAAGUGGAUGUGGAGCACAUUAAGAGUGAGACAAAAUAGAAGUGAUAAAGUAAUAGAAACAACAACAAAGACUAUAGAGUAGAGUGCUUUGGAGACAACUAAGUUAAGAGGAUAAUGGGUUAUUUCAAUAAAUUGGAAUAUUGGAAAAGAAUGCCCAAAGGAAAAAAAAAAAAA